rnacentral:misc_RNA from 1 species
GGUGAUGGUGAUGGUGAUGGUGGUGGCUAUGAUCUCUUCUCUUUCUUGAAAGCCGAUGUCUGGGUCUGCAAAAUAUCCAACCUUUUUGUCGUCUAUGCAGUUAUAUGUUUUGCCUUUUCGACACUUCUCAGCUUUUGAGGCUAAUUAGCUUGUCAGGUCUCUGUUUCUUUAACUUGAACAUCUCUUUAUCAAACCAAAAUCUGCAGCACAGAGAUCAUCAGAAAAGAAUUCAAGGUUGGAGUAUUUUCUUCUCUAUUUCAUUCUUGAAAUCCAACUAAACUCACCAAAAUCCUUAAAAAUCGUAUCUUUACCUUCAAAACCAAUCCUUUAUUUUAAUUUCACAACAACAGAGAGAAAAAACCAAUAUCAGCAGAGCCAGAACAACUGCAGUUCAGCAAUCAUACAAGACCCAGCUCUCUUUUUACCCAUUUGGAGCAAAGAAAACAUGCAAGAUCCAUCAACUGCAUUCCAGCAGAUGAAGCCUCACUUCACAGAGCAAGAACAGCUAAAGUGCCCACGCUGUGACUCUACCAACACCAAGUUCUGCUACUACAAUAACUAUAAUCUCUCUCAGCCUCGCCAUUUUUGCAAGAAUUGUAGAAGAUACUGGACCAAGGGCGGCGCUUUAAGAAACAUUCCAGUCGGUGGUGGCAGCCGCAAGAACGCUAAGCGUUCAUCGAACCCGAAACGUGCGAACCCGGAUCCCAACACCAACAGCGAUCCAGCUCGGCUCAAUCGCCGGGUGCCAGAACCAUCAUCAUCAUUAACUCCACCAACGACUGCGGCAACAUCAACUUCGCAAUUCGUGGCUAACGGGAUUUCCGAUUUGGGUGAUCCGACCCGUUUGUAUGGCUUGGAAGCAGAUCAGGACCGAAAGAUAUUGGACAUGAGUGGUAGCUUUAGCUCGCUAUUGGCCUCAAAUGGGCAGUUUGGAAAUAUUUUCGAGGGUUUGAAUCCUAAUGGGUCGGGUCUUAAAAUGGUGCACAUGGGUAAGUUUGGUGAGGACUUAAAUUCAGGUUUGAAUGCUGGUUCAGGUCAGAACUCAGGUUUAGAUGUACAAGGCAGUAAUAAUAAUGACGGCGGCGGCGAU